AGCCAAGAACCAAGUGACGUUACAGUCCAAAAACAAUAAACACUAAUUUGGAUCCUGUUGGUGAUAAGUGUUAGCUCAAGGAGGUCAUUAAAAAUACUUAUUUGGCUACUUAGUAUUAAAAAAAUGGACGUCCUUGGAAAAUUUGACUACUAACUUUAAACCAAGUGUCCUUGUUUUCAUAUCAUUUCUUUGGGUAUGUCGGGUCAUUUUAACCACUGCAUCUUCUGCUCCCUCAUUAACCCCUCUUCAAAAUAAACUGACUUGGUGUUGGGAAUAUAGUAUGAUCCAAAAUCCUGGACCUAACACUUCAAUGGAGAAAUUUUCUAUUGACUUUUUCUACUGGGCCAGUCGGUAAGCAGCUUUGGUAUGGGUUUCUUUGGGGGAGAAUAAAAACAAAUUAUUAAGAGAUUAAUGUUUUCUUUGAAUAUACCCCCCAAACUACACUGAUUUUAUUAUUUUGGUAUUAAUAUUAAUGUAUUAUUGUGAGCCACAGAGAGUCUUAGGAGGCAGCAUAUACGUUAUUAUAUAAAUAAAUGAAUAAAAUUACUGUACUUUAAACUUUAAAAAAAAAAAUUAGGUCAUAGAUAGCCUCAGUAUGAUGAUAUUCUGUGAAUAUCCUGAGUAACAGUAGUACAGGGAGAGGACAGUUCACAUGGCCAUGCACAAACACAGUCAAACCUUUCUCACCCCUCUCCCUCAUUAAAAGACAAAAACAGUAAUGAUCAGAGGAUUAAGGAGGGCGGGUUAAAUUUAGGCAGGAGAAGUCAAUAUAUGUAUAUAUGCGAGGUAUAGGGAGAGAAAUGGAAAGUAAACAAAUUCAACUGAAAUCACUCCUACAUUCCUGGGGAAUCUGUUUCUAAUUUUAAUUAUACCUCUGUUUGUUUGAGAUUUAUUGACAAAAUAAUAAAAGAAAUAACUUUCUAUGGCAGCACGCAAUAAAAGGAUCCCAUUUGGGAAUACGUUAAUUAAGUUUCUGUAUCUGUAAAUAAGAUGGGGAGGGAUGCAAAAUGCAAGCAUUGUAACAAAGAAAGGCAAGCCUUGAGUGCCCAAACGAAACAUCAUGAGGCUUGAUCCUCUUUGAAGAUACUGAAAGCAACACAAGUCAAGUCUGCACAUGCAAAGUCUUCAGGAGAAUACAUAGAAGACUGAUAAUUGUCUACAUGCACCAUUUUCAGUAACAUCACUGUCUACCAUUUUAGAAGUAUCUAAUUAGUAAUGUCCAAUUAUAUAAAAUAUGUCAGAAAAAAUAUUUGAAAAAAGAAAGAAAUACCUUUAGCUGGAAAAAGAAGAAUAAAAGUCUACCAUCCACAAAUAGGCAUAGAUAAAUUUAUGAUAACAGACUACAGCAAGAAAUAAUUGAUGAAAAAAGUAUCCUUUUGUUUAUGCAGAAAACUCUUUUUUUUGCGGAUGAGGACACAAACAUCAUUGAUGCAAUUCAAUCUCUUUGACCAGGAUGCAGUCCACCAGAGCAGAGCAAAGACCAUAAGCAAAUUGUUGGAUAAAAUGUAUAAGAAGAAAAUAGAAAAGUGUGCAAAUAAUCUAGAAGGAACCACUGCUGGUCAAAGUGUGUGACCAGCAUUCACAACAGUCCAUACAUUCUUCUGAAUCAAAAGAAAAAAAAAGGAUAAUUUUCUUAAUGAAAUAAUUGAGACAUCAGUAAAUGUAUAUAUUAUUGAAUGCUUGCAAGAAUUCCAAACUAAAAAUAUUUUUAUUAAAUGGUUAAUGUGCAUUUGUGUCAUAAUGCUGCAAAGAUAUCCAGGAUGAGAAGAGAUACAGAAAUCAAGAAGACCAAAACUAAUAAAGUGCCAUUACAGUGUUUAGUUGAAGAACCUUCAAGCAAGUACUUCAGUUGUUCCAGAAGUAAAGAUAAUAUUGCUGAAAUUGCAGAAUGUAUCUACUGUACAAUAAUAAUUUGAUAACAACUGUUCUGAAAGCAAGAGGAGUCAGUUCUUCCACAAGCCAUUCCGUAAUACUAAUUAGUAAAUAUUGAACAGUAUAUAAAUGGUGGCCUUAUGCCUCAAACAAAAAUAAGGGAAGUAGAGAUGUUAAAAUAGUAGCCAGAUUUUUUUAAAAAGAUAGGGCUAGAGCAAAACACUGAAUAUAUGCCGUUUCUCUUGAAGCCUUUUUCCAUAGCCCUUGGACCUAAGUGCAAGAAAAUUGUUACUUUAUUUCUGCUGCUGUGUUGAAGUGCGAAAGGAACUGAGAUUUUAAAUUGAAAUUUCCAAUGACGGAGUUGAAUUGCAGGCAUUAAAAUGAACUAUUUCCAGCUCAUUUUCUUGUUGCUAUUUUCAGCAUUCACUAUUGGGGGAAGUUUUAACUGUUAAAGUAAAGGAGUUGGUUAUGACAGGGACAUACCAACUAUCCUCGAUUUCAGGCUAAGUCAGACUUCUUUAAGGCAUUUUUUUUACGAAGUUUUGAAAGCAAGUUCUCUUAAUGACCUGCAUUUGAUUUCAGAUUAUUGAAGUGAUAAUCCAGUUUCUAACAACAGUAUUCUCCUCCUCUGCACUUGUAAAGAAAGUUCUUUUCUUUCUUCACAUUAAUUCAUUUUAAAUUCAGAAGUAAUUUCGGAUUUCAAAAACAGGAAAGUUUUUUUCCCCAGAUUAUGAAUCAUGAGAGUUGAAGAAUGAUGUGUUCAGUGUUUUCACUUGGCUGAAAUUCCCUGUUCAACUCUUUAAAAAACAGCACUUUAUUUGUAUAUCUAACUGUUCAAAAAUAUAUGUGGCUGUUCCUCAAA